rnacentral:misc_RNA from 1 species
AAAGUCGUAACAAGGUUUCCGUAGGUGAACCUGCGGAAGGAUCAUUAAAUGUUAUAGCAACCCUCUGGCUGAAAAUGCCAGGGGGCACAACUAUACCACCCUUUGUUUAUUACACUUUUGUUGCUUUGGUAGGCCAGUCCUCGGACUGCUGGCUUCGGCCGGACAGCGCCUACCAGAGGACCUAAACUCUGUUUGUCUAUAAUGUCUGAGUACUAUAUAAUAGUUAAAACUUUCAACAACGGAUCUCUUGGUUCUG